GGACGAACGCUGGCGGCGUGCUUAACACAUGCAAGUCGGACGGAAAGGCCCUGCUUUUGUGGGGUGCUCGAGUGGCGAACGGGUGAGUAACACGUGAGUAACCUGCCCUUGACUUUGGGAUAACUUCAGGAAACUGGGGCUAAUACCGGAUAGGAGCUCCUGCUGCAUGGUGGGGGUUGGAAAGUUUCGGCGGUUGGGGAUGGACUCGCGGCUUAUCAGCUUGUUGGUGGGGUAGUGGCUUACCAAGGCUUUGACGGGUAGCCGGCCUGAGAGGGUGACCGGCCACAUUGGGACUGAGAUACGGCCCAGACUCCUACGGGAGGCAGCAGUGGGGAAUAUUGCACAAUGGGCGGAAGCCUGAUGCAGCAACGCCGCGUGCGGGAUGACGGCCUUCGGGUUGUAAACCGCUUUCGCCUGUGACGAAGCGUGAGUGACGGUAAUGGGUAAAGAAGCACCGGCUAACUACGUG
rnacentral:rRNA from 1 species